CUCGUGGGAGUGAGCAUGUCCCAGGGAUGGACUGCUGUCUGCACACCACUUUGGUUUAAUUCUCCCAUUUCCUAACUGAUACACAAAAUCAUUUCUUAAAUAACGUCAUUUUUACAUUUAGAAGAGUUAAGAUACUGAUUUUUCUGCUCAGUCCAUUGGCUGUGGAAUCACUGAGUGAUGCAAGGCAGCUGUUCCUGCACUUUUAAAGUGCUAUUGCUGAGAACUGUGUACAUACAAAGGCAUAAAUAAACCUGCACUAGGAAGAAAGAACGUGGCAGAAACAGUAGAGAUCCUGGGCUGUGUGUUCAAGGCAAAGACAAGGACUUUCUGAAGAUAUGACAGAGCACCAUGGCUCUCCUCUCCACCAACGAAGGACUCAACAAUCCAAGUCACAUGUUGGUGGAUCACAAAUUCACUCAGUCCAGUAGACAGAGACACAGCUAAAGCUGAACUUCAGCAGCUACUCCAAGAAAAGUGAGUGUGGGACACAGAGGGAAUAUACAGCCAGGACUGCAGAAGGUCCUGGCUAAGGAUUGUGAAAUCCUCUAAGGAGCACAGAUGGACAAGGCCAGGGGCAACGAGAGAGAAGAUAAGCUGCUGCUAAUGGCUGGGAAACGGUCUUUUGUGUGGACUUAUCUUGAGGAAGAUGGCCAUCUCAGGAGGUAUGCCCAGGACUCUUGCUCAAGCACCCAGGAAUGUCAUGUAGGCAGGAGAAAAUGGAGGAUAAAAGAGGGUCCAACAACCACGGCGAGGUAGAGGCUUAUCUCUCACCACGACAGACUUGAGGGGUUCUCUGCCAUCUGAUCCUUCACCACAACGUGGAGACUGAUCUCUCACCACGACACGAGCUUCCUGCCUUCAGAUUCUUCUCUACAGACCGUUUGCUGACGGACUUCCCUGGGCCUGCUACCUGAGACCUGCUGCUUCCUCCCUGACCUGCACCCUCUCGUUGCCCAAGACCGGCCCCGCUGCUCCUGCCCUUCGGCCUCAGACCGUCGGAACAUCGUGUAACGGGACUGCUGCUGGAUCCUGGUGGUGACUAUCCCUGCUUUACGCAAUUCUUGCCUCUUUCUAUCUUUUCUAUCGCUCGCCUUCCCUUCCCCAUCACCCCAAUCCUUAAUAGUGUCCGUCCUCCCCUUUCCCCAUCUCCCUUAUUAACAUUUGUAAUAAACUGGUCGGACCAACAUUUGAACCGUUGUUUCUUAAUCUCACGCUGGGCAUACAUAUUUCAAAGAACCUCCUCUCCCUCCUAUAAAUUGGAGCGAGACACCGUCCCUCAUGUGGCACUGGUUAGUGGGCAUGAUAAGGAUGGUUUGACAGUUGGACUUGGUGAUUUUCGUGGUCUCUUCCAACCGUAAUGUUUUUAUGAUUCUAUGAAACCGAAACAGUAUUUAACACUGUACUUAAGAGAUCACAAAUCUGGAUCCCCUGUGUAAUAAAAUUAGUCCAUGUGAGAUGUGUUAUUCUUAAAACACAUCUUGUUGCCACAAACUUCCGUUUUUUUGAAUAGGUAAAGUUUGUCUAGGCAUUAAAACUUCUGCCUUGUGAUAUUUGCAAUAAAUUAACAGUAACUAGGGCAUUAUUGGCCUCUCUCUUAAAU
ensembl:lncRNA